rnacentral:misc_RNA from 1 species
GAUGAAGAACGCAGCGAAAUGCGAUACUUGGUGUGAAUUGCAGAAUCCCGUGAACCAUCGAGUCUUUGAACGCAAGUUGCGCCCGAAGCCAUUAGGCCGAGGGCACGCCUGCCUGGGCGUCACACGUCGUUGCCCCCCCAUCUACUCCUUCGGGAUUGCGGGGGGCGGAUGAUGGCCUCCCGUGCGCCACGCCGCGCGGUUGGCAUAAAUGCCAAGUCCUCGGCGACGCACGCCACGACAAUCGGUGGUUGCGAAACCUCGGUUGCCCGUCGUGUGCGUUCGUCGCGCAUCGAGGGCUCGAAAAAAUGCUCGGCUUCGGCUCGGCUUUCAACGCGACCCCAGGUCAGGCGGGGUUACCCGCUGAACUUAAGCAUAUCAAUAAGCGGAGGA